rnacentral:tRNA from 1 species
UGUAAAGUGCCUGAGAAAAGGAUAAUUUUGAUAGAAUUAAUAAUGUAUAAAUAUACCUUUACAA